GGGGAACCUUAAUGUGGCUGAGGAGCUGCGGGUGUCACAGGCAUGAAAACAGCAUCUUCUUCUUCUUCUGCCUCCUCUUCCUCCCACUGAAGUGUUGCUCCCUCUCCUCUAUCUGCUGAGUCAAAUCCCAAAUUUCAGAGAGUGCUACAGGAAGCAGAGCUGACGCAUCCAGUCUGCUCGGCGGUGCAGCGUCGGCAUGAGCGUGCGCGCAUGUUUGUUGUGAGGGAGUGUUUUCCUCACUCAAAAGUAGAAUCAGCGGCAGGUUAAUCGAAUCACGUCCGCUCCUGGAAGAUGAGCGGGCAUCGACCAGCUGAUAGAAGUUCAUGGCGGAAUUCAGAGGAGACGCGUUGCCGGACGGAAACUACAUUACUGUGGCAUUUAAGUGGAACAGACGCACUGACCUUCUCUCUGCUUGACAGAAAGAGUCGCUGACAUUCUGCCUUAUCGAUCAGGUGACAGAAAUGUUGUUUGUUUAAUGAGAAAUGGCAAAACUAAAUGAUACUGUCGCUCAGUUGAGAUGGACUGUGAUGAGAAUUGCGGAGAUAGAUUGAUAUGAGGAUACAAGUGAGAUUAAAUCAAAAAGAGGAGCUGGCUGUGGGUCCAUUUGGGAGCCUGUUGAUCAUACAGGCAGCCAAAGGGACUCCAGGGAGUCACUGACCUUUCUGUGUCUGCACGGGGGUGUGUGUGUGUUAGUUUGUGUGUUACCUGAGUUGUUGAACAAAAGACUUCACCUGAGU
rnacentral:lncRNA from 1 species